UAGGGAAUCUUCGGCAAUGGACGGAAGUCUGACCGAGCAACGCCGCGUGAGUGAAGAAGGUUUUCGGAUCGUAAAGCUCUGUUGUAAGAGAAGAACGAGUGUGAGAGUGGAAAGUUCACACUGUGACGGUAUCUUACCAGAAAGGGACGGCUAACUACGUGCCAGCAGCCGCGGUAAUACGUAGGUCCCGAGCGUUGUCCGGAUUUAUUGGGCGUAAAGCGAGCGCGGGCGGUUAGAUAAGUCUGAAGUUAAAGGCUGUGGCUUAACCAUAGUACGCUUUGGAAACUGUUUAACUUGAGUGCAAGAGGGGAGAGUGGAAUUCCAUGUGUAGCGGUGAAAUGCGUAGAUAUAUGGAGGAACACCGGUGGCGAAAGCGGCUCUCUGGCUUGUAACUGACGCUGAGGCUCGAAAGCGUGGGGAGCAAACAGGAUUAGAUACCCUGGUAGUCCACGCCGUAAACGAUGAGUGCUAGGUGUUAGACCCUUUCCGGGGUUUAGUGCCGCAGCUAACGCAUUAAGCACUCCGCCUGGGGAGUACGACCGCAAGGUUG
rnacentral:rRNA from 1 species